rnacentral:rRNA from 1 species
UACGAAGGGGGCGAGCGUUGUUCGGAAUUACUGGGCGUAAAGGGCUCGUAGGCGGCCAACUAAGUCAGACGUGAAAUCCCUCGGCUUAACCGGGGAACUGCGUCUGAUACUGGAUGGCUUGAGUUUGGGAGAGGGAUGCGGAAUUCCAGGUGUAGCGGUGAAAUGCGUAGAUAUCUGGAGGAACACCGGUGGCGAAGGCGGCAUCCUGGACCAACACUGACGCUGAGGAGCGAAAGCCAGGGGAGCAAACGGG